ensembl:lncRNA LINC02286 long intergenic non-protein coding RNA 2286
UUUAAUAGAUUCAUUCCUCUGAGGACCCUCAAGUACUUCAGAAGAACUAAAAAAUGAAUAUCACGUUACACCAAAGAAGAAAUGAAAGCUGCCAGUGUCUUCUGAAGUUAAACAGGCUCCUGUUCUUUGACCCAGCAAUCCAAUCCUAGGUAUUUAAUUGUUCCCUGAGGUUUAAGGCAGUGGACUGAGGAUAAUACAGGCUCCAGCUUUCAUUAGUUCAAUGGAUGAUGCUGUUCAAUCCAUACUGUUUGGGGCAUUUGUUGAAAAUGUCAUUCAGAAGAUAUCAACACUUUCUGAGUCAUGGUUUGAUUGAAUUUAUAGAAUUAUGUGAUAGAAACCACAUUCUUCACAAAAGUCACAAGGCAAUAAUGACGACAAGGGUUGAAGAUGAAAGAUGCCAAAUAUUCUGAUCAAUUCAAUAAGGCAAAAAGACAAGUUAAUUCACUCAGUGCUCCAGGCAUCAACUUCAUAGAAGGAAUGGAAAUUCUACCUGUUUCCUAAAGAACUACAGAGGUGUACACCAAACGGAGGGCAAAUGCUGUUACCACUCAUCGUGCAAGACUUUUGAGGCAAUUUGGACAUAGACAAGUGAUGGGAAAAUUGAAUCAUUAUAUGGCUCAUGACAGUGUUGAAAACUCAAACAUCCAAGGACCUGUACCUUUGCUAAGUGCCAUGCAUAUGUUGCUGAUAAAGAUGCAAUAAAUACUCUUUUGUUAAA